rnacentral:misc_RNA from 1 species
AUUUAAUCGAACAGUUUUUUUUAAUCAAUUUUUCCUUUGCGGGAUUGAAACGAUCGUCCUGUUCGGGUGUACACGCAUCGGGGAAGAAAUUUGCUAGCCAUUGUGUGCGAGUAGCGGCGGCACCAUUUUGUUUUCUACAAACCGACGCCGAGUGAGCAGCAGCAAAAAACCGAGGAUUCUGUCGGUGUGCCUGGAAGUGCGGUACCUGUUGGCCGGAGAUUCGCAUCGGAACGGUCGCAGCACGGCGAAUUCCGUGGUUCGGGCGGCAAGUGGCACGAUUUUGCGCGGCGUAUUCCGGUGGAUUUUUGCUGAUUCGGUGCGGUGAAGGUUCUGCUUUUUGCGGUGGUUUGGAGCGUCGGCAGUUCCGGCGGCAUUUUUGGGACAAAGGAGAGCGUUCGUUGGCGGCGGUGACCAGGCGAUUUGUUCUUGGACCGGGAGAAAGCAGCUUUGUGAGGCCAAAUCGCCACGGUGUAAUUCAGCUGUUUGAGCCGGUGCACAAACUUUUGCUUCGCUGAACGACGUUUUCCUGUGCUGGUGCACGGUGCGCACGACGAGUUUUAAAGGAGGUUAAGUUUGCUUGCUGGCAAAGGCCGGGUGCGAGAUCGGUGUCGGCUGGAAGCGCGGUGUGGCUAGCGCAUCGCGAUCAGCUUAAACCACAUUACCAGCAACAAGGCGAACGGCCGAACCUGAUGACGCCGUUCGAGAAGUCUACGCCGGACGCGGCAGUGGUGGAUUUGGACGUUGAGAUGCUGAAUUUAGACGAAGAUAUGUUGGGGGCCGGAUACGGCGGAAGCGGCUUGUUCCGGGGUUUCCCGGAAGCUGCAACGGCACGAUCCAGAAGCCGGAAGCGAGACGCAUCCGCGGCGGAAUUGCCGGCGGUCUGCCUUCGGCGCUCGAAGAGAAACAGGAAGCCUGUUUCGAACAGUGAAUUCAUUUAUGAUUAAUUAUACAUUAACAGAACACUUUGUUCUUUCAAAUUAAUACAAACAGUUGAAUUAGAUUUGUACUUGAUACAGUUUUCUUUAUAUCCAUUUAUUUGUUAUCAUUUAUCUAUGAGUUCGAUUAACUUUAGUUUUAAGCAAAGGGGGGAGGACUGUUGAGUGCCCCUCGUUUUGAAUGCCGUCAAAUGACAGCACAAAUACUUGUAACACGCGUUUUCUAUCUGACCUUAAAUAAACGAGCUUGCGCUCCAUUCGGCCUCUUUUACCGCUGAACACCAAACGGGAAA